AUCUAGUGACCUCAAGACAGAGACAGAAACCCCUGCUUCCAGGACAUGAGUAUCAGAAGCCUGACCUCUACCUUUCUCCUAGAUCCUGGGCAAGGGUGUUCUGGCCACAUCACUAUGUGAUGGACCUCCUAUGGACCUGUCUGAACAAUUGUUCACAAAUAUUGAGGACUAAGAAAAAUGGAUGAAUUAUAUACUAUAUGCCCGUCCUUCUGUCCUCUGAUGAAGAUAAAAAGAAUUGAUGGAGCCUGAGAUGCCAGCCAUAGGCACUCACAUCCUGGUUUCUCUUUGCUAUCACGUGGAAUCUGAAAAGACUGGCAUAGAUGAUAUUAUUUACAAAGCAGAAGAGAGACACAGAUGUAGAGA